rnacentral:ncRNA from 1 species
AUAAAAAUUUAAUUUUUGUUUUAUAAUUAAUAAUUUAAUAAAUUUUAUAUAUAAAAUUUAUUAAUUAAAUAUAAGAUUUAAUUUAAUAUUUAAUUUUAAGAAAAUAAAUGAAAGUUUUUUUAGUUUAUUAUGUUAAUAAUAUAAAAAUUUAGUGCCAGCAUUCGCGGUUAAACUAAAUUAUUUAAGUUAAUUUAUUUUAAUAUUAAUAAUUAUUUUGAUUAAGUUAGUUAAAUUAAUAAUUUUUAAAAUGGUGGAAUAUUUAAAUUUAUUAUUUUAAUUAUUUUUUAUUUUAAAUUUAAAUGAAAUUAAAUAAUAAACUAGGAUUAGAUACCCUAUUAUUUUAAUAAAUAAAUAAAUAUAUUAAAACAUUAAAUGUUAAAUCAUUAAAUUUAAAAGAUUUGGCGGUAUUUUAUAAAAUUAGAGGAACUUGUAGUGUAAUUGAUGAUCCACGAUAAGAUUUACUUAAUUGAAGUUUAUGUAUUGCUGUUUAAAAAAUUUUAUUAAGUAAUAAUUUUUAAUUUUUAAUAAUAAAAUAAUUCAAGUCAAAAUAUAAUUUAUUUAAGAAUUUAUGAGUUACAAUUAAUUUAAUUAAUAGUUAAUUUAAUUUAAUUUUAUUUUAUAAAUUGGAUUUAAUAGUAAAUUCAGUUAAUUAACUGUUUUGAAAAUCUAAUAAAAUAUGUACAAAUUGCCCGUCGCUUUCAAUAAAAUGAAAUAAGUCGUAACAUAGUUUAGGUACUGGAAAGUGCUUAUUGAUA